AGGAGGCCUGAGAAGGUUAGGCAGCUUGUGCCGCGCUGUAAUAACUGGUUUAUACCUCCGAGAGGAAGCAACGAAACACAACGUGGUGGCUCUGGAACCCCACAGGGCUGCCGGAUGCUUGUGUUUGACAUUGA
ensembl:snoRNA small nucleolar RNA SNORA47